rnacentral:rRNA from 1 species
UGGGGAAUAUUGCGCAAUGGGGGAAACCCUGACGCAGCGACGCCGCGUGAGCGAUGAAGGCCUUAGGGUUGUAAAGCUCUGUUUUAGGGGACGAAUGUCCAUGUGAGUAAUAUGCGCGUGGAAUGACGGUACCCUAAGAGGAAGCCCCGGCUAACUACGUGCCAGCAGCCGCGGUAAGACGUAGGGGGCGAGCGUUGUCCGGAAUUACUGGGCGUAAAGAGCACGUAGGCGGGAACUUAAGUCAGGUGUGAAAGACCGGGGCUCAACUCCGGGAUUGCACGUGAAACUGGGUUUCUUGAGGGCAGGAGAGGAAAGCAGAAUUCCUGGUGUAGCGGUGAAAUGCGUAGAAAUCAGGAGGAAUACCAGUGGCGAAGGCGGCUUUCUGGACUGACCCUGACGCUGAGGUGCGAAAGCGUGGGUAGCAAACA